GACGAACGCUGGCGGCGUGCUUAACACAUGCAAGUCGAACGGAAAGGCCCUGCUUUUGUGGGGUGCUCGAGUGGCGAACGGGUGAGUAACACGUGAGUAACCUGCCCUUGACUUUGGGAUAACUUCAGGAAACUGGGGCUAAUACCGGAUAGGAGCUCCUGCUGCAUGGUGGGGGUUGGAAAGUUUCGGCGGUUGGGGAUGGACUCGCGGCUUAUCAGCUUGUUGGUGGGGUAGGGGCUUACCAAGGCUUUGACGGGUAGCCGGCCUGAGAGGGUGACCGGCCACCUUGGGACUGAGGUACGGACCAGACUCCAACGGGAGGCAGCAGUGGGGAAUCUUGCACAAUGGGCGGAAGCCUGAUGCAGCAACGCCGCGUGCGGGAUGCCGGCCUUCGGGUUGUAAACCGCUUUCGCCUGUGACGAAGCGUGAGUGACGGUAAUGGGUAAAGAAGCACCGGCUAACUACGUG
rnacentral:rRNA from 1 species